UACGAAGGGUGCAAACGUUGCUCGGAGUUAUUGGGCGUAAAGAGCUCGUAGGCGGCUUAGAAAGUCAGGUGUGAAAACUCUGGGCUUAACCCAGAGACGCCACUUGAUACUUCUAUGGCUUGAGUUCGGUAGGGGACCAUGGAAUUCCUGGUGUAGCGGUGAAAUGCGCAGAUAUCAGGAGGAACACCGAUGGCGAAGGCAGUGGUCUGGGCCGAUACUGACGCUGAGGAGCGAAAGCGUGGGGAGCGAACAGG
rnacentral:rRNA from 1 species